rnacentral:sRNA from 2 species
GGGGAUUACUAUGGGACGGGAAUGUGCAUGAAUUUCAAGAUAUUUCGGGCCUCAAGUGAUUUGAUACGAACGAAAAGUUGUUGUCCGUCUGGGCUCUAACUGAAACAGGAAGGUCAUGUCUCUGACUCAAUCACUCAGUCUCAAAAUUCAAGGAAGAAUCUGCAAAGCCUUCCGGUUUUUUUGUUUUUGAACAAAAAUGAAGGCAACAAAGAUUGGUUCUGUCUCUUUUCUUUCCCUCUUGUUGGUGCGCUAAACUCGAGAAGGAAGGCGAUGGUUGUAAAAGUUGUCAGAAACUCCCCAACAGGAUGAAAUCACCAC